AUUGAACGCUGGCGGCAGGCCUAACACAUGCAAGUCGAACGAGUGGCGGACGGGUGAGUAAUGUCUGGGAAACUGCCCGAUGGAGGGGGAUAACUACUCGAAACGGUAGCUAAUCCCGCAUACCAUCGGAUCUGCCCAGAUGGGAUUAGCUAGUGGGUGGGGUAACGGCUCACCAAGGCGAAGAUCCCUAGCUGGUCUGAGAGGAUGACCAGCCACACUGGAACUGAGACACGGUCCAGACUCCGACGGGAGGCAGCAGUGGGGAAUAUUGCACAAUGGGCGCAAGCCUGAUGCAGCCAUGCCGCGUGUAUGAAGAAGGCCUUCGGGUUGUAAAGUACUGUCAGCGAGGAGGCGUUACUCGCAGAAUAAGCACCGGCUAACUCCGUGCCAGCAGCCGCGGUAAUUC
rnacentral:rRNA from 1 species